rnacentral:rRNA from 1 species
CUACGUGCCAGCAGCCGCGGUAAUACGUAGGUCCCGAGCGUUGUCCGGAUUUAUUGGGCGUAAAGCGAGCGCAGGCGGUUUGAUAAGUCUGAAGUUAAAGGCUGUGGCUCAACCAUAGUUCGCUUUGGAAACUGUCAAACUUGAGUGCAGAAGGGGAGAGUGGAAUUCCAUGUGUAGCGGUGAAAUGCGUAGAUAUAUGGAGGAACACCGGUGGCGAAAGCGGCUCUCUGGUCUGUAACUGACGCUGAGGCUCGAAAGCGUGGGGAGCGAACAGGAUUAGAUACCCUGGUAGUCCACGCCGUAAACGAUGAGUGCUAGGUGUUGGAUCCUUUCCGGGAUUCAGUGCCGCAGCUAACGCAUUAAGCACUCCGCCUGGGGAGUACGACCGCAAGGUUGAAACUCAAAGGAAUUGACGGGGGCCCGCACAAGCGGUGGAGCAUGUGGUUUAAUUCGAAGCAACGCGAAGAMCCUUACCAGGUCUUGGCAUCCCGAUGCUAUUUCUAGAGAUAGAAAGUUACUU